rnacentral:tRNA from 1 species
GCAGUGAUGAUUCACUGGUAGAAUUCUCACCUUCCGUGUAAGAGACCUGGGUUUGAUUCCCAGCCAAGGCA